GACGAACGCUGGCGGCGUGCUUUACACAUGCAAGUCGAACGGUGAAGGUGGAGCUUGCUCCGCCGGAUCAGUGGCGAACGGGUGAGUAACACGUGGGCAACCUGCCCCUAACUUUGGGAUAACUACUCGAAAGAGUAGCUAAUACCGGAUAUGAAGUCUGUAGGCAUCUACGGAUUUGGAAAGUUUUUCGGUUAGGGAUGGGCCCGCGGCCUAUCAGCUUGUUGGUGAGGUAGUGGCUCACCAAGGCGACGACGGGUAGCCGGCCUGAGGGUGCGACCGGCCACACUGGGACUGAGACACGGCCCAGACUCCUACGGGAGGCAGCAGUGGGGAAUAUUGCGCAAUGGGCGAAAGCCUGACGCAGCAACGCCGCGUGCGGGAUGAAGGCCUUCGGGUUGUAAACCGCUUUCAGCAGGGAAGAAGCGAAAGUGACGGUACCUGCAGAAGAAGCACCGGCUAACUAUGUGCCAGCCGCCGCAGUAA
rnacentral:rRNA from 1 species